rnacentral:rRNA from 1 species
GACGAACGCUGGCGGCGUGCUUAACACAUGCAAGUCGAACGGAAAGGCCCUGCUUUUGUGGGGUGCUCGAGUGGCGAACGGGUGAGUAACACGUGAGUAACCUGCCCUUGACUUUGGGAUAACUUCAGGAAACUGGGGCUAAUACCGGAUAGGAGCUCCUGCUGCAUGGUGGGGGUUGGAAAGUUUCGGCGGUUGGGGAUGGACUCGCGGCUUAUCAGCUUGUUGGUGGGGUAGUGGCUUACCAAGGCUUUGACGGGUAGACGGCCUGAGAGGGUGACCGGCCACAUUGGGCCUGCGAUACGGCCCAGACUCCUACGGGAGGCAGCAGUGGGGAAUAUUGCACAAUGGGCGGAAGCCUGAUGCAGCAACGCCGCGUGCGGGAUGACGGCCUUCGGGUUGUAAACCGCUUUCGCCUGUGACGAAGCGUGAGUGACGGUAAUGGGUAAAGAAGCACCGGCUAACUACGUG